CCCAGGAGCCACAAGUGGCAACCACCUUUAUUGGGCCUAAAGCGUCCGUAGCCGGUUUUGUGAAUUUUCUGUGAAAUCGUUGCGCUUAACGUAACGACGUGCAGAAAACACUGCAAGACUUGGGACCGGGAGGAGUCAGAGGUAUUUUGGGGGGAGCGGUAAAAUGCUAUAAUCCCCGAAGGACCACCUGUGGCGAAGGCGUCUGACUAGAACGGAUCCGACGGUGAGGGACGAAAGCUAGGGGAGCAAUCCGG
rnacentral:rRNA from 1 species